GACGAACGCUGGCGGCGUGCUUAACACAUGCAAGUCGAACGGAAAGGCCCUGCUUUUGUGGGGUGCUCGAGUGGCGAACGGGUGAGUAACACGUGAGUAACCUGUCCUUGACUUUGGGAUAACUUCAGGAAACUGGGGCUAAUACCGGAUAGGAGCUCCUGCUGCAUGGUGGGGGUUGGAAAGUUUCGGCGGUUGGGGAUGGACUCGCGGCUUAUCAGCUUGUUAGUGGGGUAGUGGCUUACCAAGGCUUUGACGGGUAGGCGGCCUGAGAGGGUGACCGGCCACAUUGGGACUGAGAUACGGCCCAGACUCCUCCGGGAGGCAGCGGUGCGGAAUAUUGCACAAUGGGCGGGAGCCUGGUGCAGCAACGCCGCGUGCGGGAUGACGGCAUUCGGGUUGUAAACCGCUUUCGCCUGUGACGAAGCGUGAGUGACGGUAAUGGGUAAAGAAGCACCGGCUAACUACGUG
rnacentral:rRNA from 1 species